ACGGAUGGUCGAAGUAAGAGCAGCUUGUAACUGGUCUUGUCUAUCUCGAUAUGAAGCUCUUUCUCCCCUCAGGCUUUUGCCUCAGGACAGUUUGCUGGGCCUUUUAAAAUAAUGCUGUGUUUUUCUGGUGAAUCAUUUGAAAUACUUUUCCAAGAUCAGUUGAACGCGAUAGAUGAACGAGGAAGGUCGACGGUAAAGUAGGUUUACAGUUAAGUAAUUUGCAUAUAGAACAUAAUCGUGAUGCAGUGAUACAUCCUAUGGUAGCCUAACUACGGGGCUAGUGAAUAAUUAAUGUAUUUCUAUUCUUAGUACGCACUAAAGUGGCACAACUUUAAAGAAAAAAGUGCCUGUUCGCUCACUUAAGGUGAAAUUGGUUGUGAGAAAAUUAAUCAAAUUUAGAAGCUAAUGACCACAAAAUGGAUUAAUAUACUUAACCCACAUUUUAAGGGAUUUUACUUUCUGAUUAUUUCUAGUGCUAGAGUGUUUACUAUUGAGUGAUUGUCACAUUUGGCAUAAGUUCAUUAUUUUUGAUGUACAUAGUGUAUGUUUUCUCAGAUUUUGACAUUGCAGUAUGAAGUGCUUUUAACGGUUUGCUAUCAGUUGAUGAAAGCUACUGCUCCCACGAUUCGACAUCACCUCAGAAAAGUGUGCGCUUGUAUUGUAACUCGUCGUUCAAAGAAAAACACGUGGCUUAAAAAAGCUUUUAUGUCCCUUACACAAAGGUACAAAUUUACUGAAUGUUUUCAGCGAGGUAUCAUAACUGCUUAGAAAACAUCAUGUAAUUAAUGUACAAAAUAUAGUUCAAUGUGAUACCCGUGUCGCUAGAAUGAAAUUGAAAGUAAAUUAAACAUAUUCACUAAUUUGAGAUGUGUUGACUUUGAGUCUCCACAGAUCGUUCUGUAGGGGAUAUAAUCUCAAAGUAAUGAGCCAUGCGCGCAUAAUAUAAUAAAAAAAAGUGACGCUUGAUUUGAAUGAACAAAACGAAUGUUAAGGAAGCUAUAAAUUGAGAUACAUGAACCAAUGUAGAUCUGGAGGAUAAUAAGUCAAUCAAUAUAAUUUCAAUCAGGCAUGAACCGCCUUUAUACCACAUCUCCUUUAAAUGCUUUAGAACCUGAAGACUCAUUCAGCCCAAUUCACCGGAAUAUUUAUAAUAACCCUUAUACACCCAGUCGUCGCCAACAUCACCAUUUUAAUAGUCUUACGGCAUGUAGAGCCGCUACUGACUUCAGUAAUAAAGAUUCACAUUCGAAUCGGAGUUCAGAUAAUGCAUUGGAGGACUCGAAAUUAACAGAAACCGAGCUAGCUUUGACGCUGUGUGAUACCUUGCCUGUUCAUAACGGUAAGUAGAUAUAUAUACAUAUAUUGCUCCCAGAGGCCCUGCUAUUGAACGAUGUUAUGCAUCCUUAUUCUGAUUACUUAAAGAGGGGCGAAAUAGCUAUAAAACUUGUUAAUCAAUAUAAACCGAAUAUAGGAAUGUUUGAUUUAUUUUCGCUUUUUAGAUCCGCUAAACGCUAAUUUAGCUUACAAUAUCUACUUGUCCUGUGAUGUCGGUAAAAUCUAUA